rnacentral:lncRNA from 10 species
UUAUUGUGAAAUAGAGAGUGUGAGAUACACUGGAUGCAGAGAAGGUCAAAACUGAAUUGGAAGAUUUUAUCCAGUUCUGGCUUCUACAAGUGAGGGGGAGUAAAGACAACCCGUGGAAGAAUUAAUACAGAAAAGUAAGAAAGUGAAAAAUAUAUGGCCAAAAUAAAAGAAAACAUGGAAUAAAGACCCCUUCUGAGCUCGCCCACACAAGGAUGGAGUUGUCGUUGAUGUGGCAGCCAGGACUGCAGCAACAGGCAUCGAAGCCAGACGACACAGGUGGUCCAGAGCACGGAGAGUCACCAAGGAGACUUGGAGAACACCAGCACUUCCGUUAUUAGGGUGGAAUACAUCUGAAGGCAUCACAAUUCUAUCCCAGUCUAAAGAAACCUGAGCCAAAUGACGGAUGCUGGAUCCCAGAAUGUGUCCAUCAAAUCCCUGAUUCACAGAGAUGUUAACAAAUGUGAUAUCCGUUACUGUUCACUGAAAACUUACUAUGAGUCACUGUGCCAUGAACUUUAUGAGAAUUACCUAAUUUAAUCUACAGAAAAUACUAUUAUCUCCAUUUUUAGAGAGGGAAGAUGAAGAUUAGUGACUUGCCCAAGAUUACACAGAUAGUGAUGGGUGAGUCAGAAUUUGUACCCACGCAGCCUUGUACCUGGGCCCACACUGUUAUCCACCAGACUUCAAUGAUUCUCUUGGCUUGUGGAAGUAGACAAGUUGAAGGGUAUGUCUUUUGGUGGCCUAUGUUUCUAACUUUAGGGUUCACAGUAAUUAGAAAAGGGCACAGAAACAUUUCAAAUAUUUUCUCCCAAGGUGACCCAUAAAAAUCAUUAGAUUAUGUGCUCUGAUAUUGUGGCCUAUACCAAACUGUCUCAGACAAUUGAAUCUAUUCAGUACUUCAUUGUUGCAAAGAAUGAAAAGAGACAAUGAGAGACAGGACUAGCUGGAUUUCCUAGGCCCACUAAGAAUUCCUAAGCCUAGCUGGGAAGGUGACCGCACCCACCUUUAAACACGGGGCUUGUAACUCAGCUCACACCAAACCAAUCAGGUAGUAAACAGAGCUCACUAAAAUACCAAUUAGGCUAAAAACAGGAGGUAAAGAAAUAAUCAAAUCAUCUGUCUCCUGAGAGCACAGGGGGAGGGACAAUGAUCAGGAUAUAAACCCAGGAAUUCGAGCGGGCAGGGGCAACCCCCUUUGGGUCCCCUCCUGUUGUAUGGGACCUCUGUUUUCACUCUAUUAAAUCUUGCAACUGCACACUCUUCUGGUCUGUUUGUUCCGGCUCGAGUUGAGCUUUCACUCGCCAUCCACCACUGCUGAUCUCCAUCCUUGCAAACCCGCCACUGACUUCCACUCCCCCAGAUCCUGCAGGAUGUCUGCUGCGCCUCUGAUCCAGCGAGGUGCCCACUGCCGCUCCUGAUUGGGCUAGAGGCUCGCCAUUGUUCCUGCAUGGCUAAGUUCCCGGGUUCAUCCUAAUCCAGCUGAACACUAGUCGCUGGGUUCCAUGGUUUUCUUCUGUGAUCCAUGGCUUCUAAUAGAGCUAUAACACUCACCCAUGGCCCAAGUUUCCAUUCCUUGGAAUCCGUGAGGCCAAGAACCCCAGGUCAGAGAACAAAAGACUUGCCGCCAUCUUGGGAGGACUUGCCGCCAUCUUGGGAGCACCCGCCCCCAUCUUAGGAGUGGCCUGCCACAUCUUGGGAGCUCUGAGGACAAAGACCUGCUGAUAACAACAACAUCCUCUGUGGGUCUAAGAAAAAUCAAGCAACAUAUGACUAUAAUGAAAUUAUAGAACUAAAGCUUAAUUCUUUAUCUUCCCUUCAUAAUGAUGACUCAAACU